UACAGAGGGGGCAAGCGUUAUUCGGAAUUACUGGGCGUAAAGCGCGUGUAGGCGGCAAGGCAAGUCGGGUGUGAAAGCCCUGGGCUCAACCCAGGAAGUGCAUUCGAUACUGCCAAGCUAGAGUCCCGGAGAGGAUGGUGGAACUCUCGGUGUAGAGGUGAAAUUCGUAGAUAUCGAGAAGAACACCGGUGGCGAAGGCGGCCAUCUGGACGGUGACUGACGCUGAGACGCGAAAGCGUGGGGAGCAAACGGG
rnacentral:rRNA from 1 species